rnacentral:rRNA from 1 species
GGGGAAUCUUGCACAAUGGAGGAAACUCUGAUGCAGCGACGCCGCGUGGACGACGAAGCCCUUCGGGGUGUAAAGUCCUUUCGACCGGAACGAUAAUGACGGUACCGGUGGAAGAAGCUGCGGCUAACUACGUGCCAGCAGCCGCGGUAAUACGUAGGCAGCAAGCGUUGUUCGGAAUUAUUGGGCGUAAAGAGUUCGUAGGCGGUGCGGCAAGUUCGGUGUGAAAUCUCCCGGCUCAACUGGGAGGGUGCGCUAAAUACUGCCGUGCUCGAGUAUAGGAGAGGUAAGCGGAAUUCCUGGUGUAGCGGUGAAAUGCGUAGAUAUCAGGAGGAACACCUGUGGUGUAGACGGCUUACUGGACUAUAACUGACGCUGAGGAACGAAAGCGUGGGUAGCAAACAGGA